rnacentral:lncRNA from 1 species
UGCUUCCAAUUUCCUGUUCUAAGCAGUGUAGGGCCCAGGAGGCUAAGGCUCUGAAAGGAAGGAUACCAGCAGGCCCCACUGGAAUGAGCUGGCUCUAGAGGCUUCUACCAUCCUCUCUCAUCAGGAGGCUCCUGCAGGAAACAGUCAGGCCAGCUUCCCAGCUGGGCUCAGUGCUGGGGGGUAGGGGUGGACGUUCUUGCCUAGCUAAGGAUGGCUGCUUUCUCUGUAGUUCAUGAUCUUCCUCCGCCCUCACUUAGCCUACUUCCCUGACAGAGUGAAUCUGGGACAUCAGAUAGGCAACCCACCUUGUGCUCCAAUUUGGGCACAUUCAACUGCCCGUGCUGACAGACCGAGGGAGGAUGAGGGCCUAGCCCCCUACCUGGCCUACAACCUCAAAGCAGCCUUAGUGGACUGCUCACUUCAGUUUCCAAAGGGGGAAUCUGCCUGGGAUCGAUUCUGUGUGCUUUUUUCCUUCCACACCCAAGAGAACCAGCUAGAGUCUCAGAGCAUCCUUGUUGGGCAUUUUCAGUGUCCUCCUUCCCCGGGUCAAAGCCACUAAUCUGAUGGUCAGAGGUUAAUCCGCUCCCAGAGGGAGCCCUGAAAGAUGGCUCACAGCAGACCCCAUCCCGAAAGCCUUUAGGAAAGGAUUCUGAAAUGUUCGUGGAUUGGAGCUGUAAGUGUCUCUGACCAGCUUUGACAGUGACAGCUUUAACUACGACAACUACACUUACUUUAUGCAUUUGAAUAUUUUGGUUCCUUUUUUUUUUUUUUUCUUUUUAAAGAUUAAGGUUUUCCACUCGGGAUUUCAUUUCUAACCUGGUGUACGAAGUUCCUCUCUACUUACCACGUACCCCAUGUCAGGUUCAGGGAAAAAUGCACCGGGGAAAUCAGAGAAAAUGGGAUUUCUUUUUGAAAAGAAAACUACAUUCCUGUUACUGACCACCCCCCCAAUAAAACCUGUUGUAGAAACAC